AUGUAUACCAGUGUAUGUGUGUAUGUAUGCCAGUGUGUGUGUAUGCCAGUGUGUUUGAGUAUGCCAGUGUAUGUAUGCCAGUGUGUGUGUGUAUGUAUACCAGUGUAUGUGUGUAUGUAUGCCAGUGUGUGUAUGUAUGCCAGUGUAUGUAUGCCAGUGUGUGUGUGUAUGCCAGUGUAUGUGUGUAUGUAUGCCAGUGUGUGUAUGUAUACCAGUGUAUGUGUGUGUGUGUGUAUGCCAUUGUAUGUGUGUGUAUGCCAGUGUGUUUGUGUAUGCCAUUGUAUGUGUGUGUGUAUGCCAGUGUGUGUAUGUAUGCCAGUGUGAGUGUGUAUGUAUGCCAGUGUGUGUAUGUAUGCCAGUGUAUAUGUGUAUGCCAGUGCAUGUGUGUGUAUGCCAGUGUAUGUGUGUAUGUAUGCCAGUGUGUGUAUACCAGUGUAUGUAUGCCAGUGUAUGUGUGUAUGUAUGCCAGUGUGUGUAUGCCAGUGUGUGUGUAUGUAUGCUAGUGUAUGUGUGUAUGUAUGCCAGUGUGUGUGUGUAUGCCAGUGUAUGUGUGUCAGUGUAUGUGUGUAUGUAUGUCAGUGUAUGUGUAUGCCAGUGUAUGUGUGUGUGUAUGCAUGCCAGUGUAUGUGUGUAUGUAUGCCAGUGCAUGUGUGUAUGCCAGUGUAUGUGUGUAUGUAUACCAGUGUAUGCGUGUAUGUAUGCCAGUGUGUGUCUGUAUGUAUGUAUGUAUGCAUGCCUGUGUGUGUCUGUAUGUCUGUCAGUAUGUAUGUAUAUAUCAGUAUGCAGUAUGUGUAUGUAUAUGUAUGUUUGUCAGUAUGUAUGUCUGCAUGUAUAUGUGUGUUUGUGUGUGUGUCAGUAUCUCCCUAUGCAUGUGUGUAUGUCUGUUUCAGUAUUUGUAUCUGUUAGUGUGUGUGUAUUCCUGUG